CGAUAGCAUUUUUCCAUCUCUAACUGGAUUUUCAUCCCUCAAGUCUUUGGAUCUGUCAAACAAUCAGCUGACAGGAUCUGCUAGUAUCAUUAGUAAGUUAUAUAUAAUUUCUACCUAACUGCUUUACGUGACGUUCUUUUAUAUUUAUUUAAUAAUCAACGAUAGCAUUUCAUCAUGUUUGAUUGCGGUAGCUUUCAUCUUAUCCAUAAAUUGUUUUUCUAUUAAGACAGGAAGAGAUUAAAGUCAUGAGCUAGCUAGAUCAAAACUAGAUGAUUAAAAAUUACAAGUAUAGCAAUGGAUACUUGCAAUCGAUCUAUCUUCUUCCUUAAUCUAUGCACUGUAUAUUUUUUUAUGUAUAUCUUGUGUAGGUUUUCAACUCCAACCGAUGAGGCUGGGAAAGUUAGAGAACCUUGACCUGAGUGGCAAUCGAUUGAACAACAGCAUCUUAUCAAUUCUGAGUGGGCUUUCCACUCUCAAGUCUUUGGAUCUAUCAUUUAAUGAGUUUACAGCUG
rnacentral:lncRNA from 1 species